UACGAAGGGGCUAGCGUUGCUCGGAAUCACUGGGCGUAAAGGGUGCGUAGGCGGGUCUUUAAGUCAGGGGUGAAAUCCUGGAGCUCAACUCCAGAACUGCCUUUGAUACUGAGGAUCUUGAGUUCGGGAGAGGUGAGUGGAACUGCGAGUGUAGAGGUGAAAUCGUAGAUAUUCGCAAGAACACCAGUGGCGAAGGCGCUCACUGGCCCGAUACUGACGCUGAGGCACGAAAGCGUGGGGAGCAAACAGG
rnacentral:rRNA from 1 species